GAUGAACGCUGGCGGCGUGCCUAAUACAUGCAAGUCGAACGAAACUUCUUUAUCACCGAGUGCUUGCACUUACCGAUAAAGAGUUGAGUGGCGAACGGGUGAGUAACAUGUGGGCAACCUGCCCAAAAGAGGGGGAUAACACUUGGCAACAGGUGCUAAUACCGCAUAACCAUAGUUACCGCAUGGUAACUAUGUAAAAGGUGGCUAUACUACCGCUUUUGGAUGGGCCCGCGGCGCAUUAGCUAGUUGGUAGGGUAAAGGCUUACCAAGGCAAUGAUGCGUAGCCGAAUUGAGAGGGUGAUCGGCCACACUGGAACUGAGACACGGCCCAGACUCCUACGGGAGGCAGCAGUAGGGAAUCUUCCGCAAUGGGCGAAAGCCUGAUGGAGCAACGCCGCGUGAGUGAAGAAGGUCUUCGGAUCGUAAAACCCUGUUGUUAGAGAAGAAAGUGCGUGAGAGUAACUGUUCACGUUUCGACGGUAUCUAACCAGAAAGCCACGGCUAACUACGUG
rnacentral:rRNA from 1 species